AUUGAACGCUGGCGGCAGGCCUAACACAUGCAAGUCGAGCGCGCGGCGGACGGGUGAGUAAUGUCUGGGAAACUGCCUGCUGGAGGGGGAUAACUACUGGAAACGGUAGCUAAAACCACAUACCAUCUCAUGUGCCCAGAUGGGAUUAGCUAGGAGGUGGGGUAACGGCUCACCUAGGCGCCGAUCCCUAGCUGGUCUGAGAGGAUGACCAGCCACACUGGAACUGAGACACGGUCCAGACUCCUACGGGAGGCAGCAGUGGGGAAUAUUGCACAAUGGGCGCAAGCCUGAUGCAGCCAUGCCGCGUGUGUGAAGAAGGCCUUCGGGUUGUAAAGCACUUUCAGCGGGGAGGCGUUACCCGCAGAAGAAGCACCGGCUAACUCCGUGCCAGCCGCCGCGGUAAUAC
rnacentral:rRNA from 1 species